rnacentral:rRNA from 1 species
AUGCCAACCUUCGCACUCACCGUCCUCCGUGUCCCAAAGAAGAUCCUCAGGGAGGUCGACAAGUGCAGGCGUCGCUUCCUUUGGCGCCAAGACGAAGAGAUCACUGGUGCCAGUUGCAAGGUCAAUUGGCCGACGGUGUGUGCCCCAACAGAGCAGGGAAGCCUAGGCAUCCCCGACCUGCAGCGCUUCGGUAGAGCGCUCUGUCUGCGUUGGCUUUGGAUCGCCUGGCAUCACCCGGAAAGACCUUGGGUGGGCUCUGCACUGCCAUGUGAUGAUGCAGACAGGGCUCUCUUCUCGGCCUCGACGAAGGUGACGAUCGGGGACGGGACGCGGGCAUCCUUCUGGCUCUCCCCGUGGGUCGGACAUGGAAGUCUCUCGCAGCGCUUCCCCAGGCUCUUCACCCACUCUCGACGCAAGCACAGAUCAGUCGGCGAUGCAAUGAGCGACGACACCUGGAUCCACGACCUCGCACACGGACAAACCCAGCACCUCCUCGGGGACGUCCUGGCCUUGCACCGCGAACUAGAGUGA